GCCAGGUGUGUAAGGAGGGCAACCUCCUCAGCUGACUGGUACUAAUAGGUCGAGGGCUUGACCUA
rnacentral:rRNA from 1 species